GUGGGGAAUAUUGGGCAAUGGGCGAAAGCCUGACCCAGCAACGCCGUGUGAAGGAAGAAGGUCUUCGGAUCGUAAACUUCUAUCCUUGGUGAAGAUAAUGACGGUAGCCGAGAAGGAAGCCCCGGCUAACUACGUGCCAGCAGCCGCGGUAAUACGUAGGGGGCAAGCGUUGUCCGGAAUGAUUGGGCGUAAAGGGCGCGUAGGCGGCCUGGUAAGUCUGGAGUGAAAGUCCUGCUUUUAAGGUGGGAAUUGCUUUGGAUACUGUCGGGCUUGAGUGCAGGAGAGGUAAGUGGAAUUCCCGGUGUAGCGGUGAAAUGCGUAGAGAUCGGGAGGAACACCAGUGGCGAAGGCGACUUACUGGACUGUAACUGACGCUGAGGCGCGAAAGUGUGGGGAGCAAACAGGAUUAGAAACCCCUGUAGUCC
rnacentral:rRNA from 1 species